AUACGGGGGGUGCAAGCGUUAUUCGGAAUCACUGGGCGUAAAGGGCGCGCAGGCGGUUUGGUAAGUCAGAUGUGAAAGCCCGGGGCUCAACCCCGGAAGUGCAUUUGAUACUGCCUGACUUGAGUAUGGGAGAGGGAAGUGGAAUUCCUGGUGUAGGGGUGAAAUUCGUAGAUAUCAGGAGGAACACCGGUGGCGAAGGCGACUUCCUGGACCAAUACUGACGCUGAGGCGCGAAGGCGUGGGGAGCAAACAGGAUUAGAAACCCCAGUAGUCC
rnacentral:rRNA from 1 species